UUAUGGUGUGUGUGAUUUACAGAAAAAAAAAUAAAAAGUAGAAAAGAGAAGAUGAGAUGUGGCAGUAUAAGAAUAAUAUGAAGAAACCUUGUUAUAUUGUGUGUAAUUCACAGAAAAAAAUAAAAAAUAGAAAAGAGAAGAUGAGACGGGGCAGAGUAUAAGAAUAAUAUGAAGAAUUAAACUUGAUUGGUGUAUCCUCUUUGGUAAGUAUUUUAUUUCAUUUAGAAAUAAAUUUAAUUGGAAAUGUGAAUCAACUAGGAUUUGAACUUGGGACCUCGGAUACCAACCACUAAGCCUUUUGCCACUUGCGCUAGGGACGAUUGGUAAUUAACAUAUAUUUAUCAAACUAAACAUAUGAAUGAUUAUUCUAA
rnacentral:lncRNA from 1 species